rnacentral:rRNA from 1 species
UGCCUACGGGGGGCAGCAGUGGGGGAUAUUGCACAAUGGGGGGAACCCUGAUGCAGCGACGCCGCGUGGGUGAAGGAGCGUUUCGGCGCGUAAAGCCCUAUCGGCAGGGAAGAAGGAGGACGGUACCUGACUAAGAAGCCCCGGCUAACUACGUGCCAGCAGCCGCGGUAAUACGUAGGGAGCAAGCGUUGUCCGGAAUUACUGGGCGUAAAGGGCGCGUAGGGGGGCGCUUAAGUCAGGUGUGAAAACUCCGGGCUCAACCUGGAGACUGCACUUGAAACUGGGUGUCUUGAGGGCAGGAGAGG